ensembl:lncRNA
CAACUAUGCUCAAUCAUCCAGUCUCUGCUGACUGCAGGUUUCCAACCUUAUAAACUACAUUUGCAUAAUGACUGAAACCAGCCCACUGACUAGCAAUGCACUGUGAGGUCAGUGUCAUGAUAAUUAAUAUGCAAAUUGUAAACCGUGUUUUAUACAUCGAGGAAACCAAACUACCUCUGGCUAAGCGGAUAGCAGAACACAGAAGAGCUACCUCGUCAGGCCAGGACUCUGCAGUCUAUUUACAUCUACAGGGCAGUGGACACUCUUUCAGUGGUGAGGAUGUGCACAUCCUGGACAGGGAGGAACGCUGGUUUGAGCGGACAGUCAAGGAGGCCAUUUACGUGAAAAGGGAAAGACCAUCUCUGAAUCGAGGAGGGGGCCAAAGGGUACAUCUUUCACCAUCCUACAAUGGUGUGAUUGCAGCCAACUCUCUGUGAAUGGUACUCGUGACUACUGAUCAGUGGUCACUGGUCAUGACAAUUUGUAUAUCUAUUUAAAAAUCACACAGAUGUUCAGAUGGUAGAUCUGAAAGAGCAGCA